rnacentral:rRNA from 1 species
UGCAAGUCGAGGGGCAGCGGGUUGAAAGCUUGCUUUCAAUGCCGGCGACCGGCGCACGGGUGCGUAACGCGUAUCAAACCUGCCUCAUACUCGGGGAUAGCCUUGCGAAAGUAAGAUUAAUACCCGAUGUUGUUGCUUUCUCGCAUGGGAGAGUAACCAAAGAUUUAUCGGUAUGAGAUGGUGAUGCGUCCGAUUAGGUAGUAGGCGGGGUAACGGCCCACCUAGCCUUCGAUCGGUAGGGGUUCUGAGAGGAAGGUCCCCCACACUGGAACUGAGACACGGUCCAGACUCCUACGGGAGGCAGCAGUGAGGAAUAUUGGUCAAUGGGCGAGAGCCUGAACCAGCCAAGUAGCGUGCAGGAUGACGGCCCUCCGGGUUGUAAACUGCUUUUAGUUGGGAAUAAAAAAAGGGACUUGUCCCUUCUUGUAUGUACCUUCAGAAAAAGGACCGGCUAAUUCCGUGCCAGCAGCCGCGGUAAUACGGAAGGUCCAGGCGUUAUCCGGAUUUAUUGGGUUUAAAGGGAGCGUAGGCGGAUUGUUAAGUCAGCGGUUAAAGGGUGUGGCUCAACCAUGCAUUGCCGUUGAAACUGGCGAUCUUGAGUGCAGACAGGGAUGCCGGAAUUCGUGGUGUAGCGGUGAAAUGCUUAGAUAUCACGAAGAACUCCGAUCGCGAAGGCAGGUGUCCGGGCUGCAACUGACGCUGAGGCUCGAAAGUGUGGGUAUCAAACAGGAUUAGAUACCCUGGUAGUCCACACAGUAACGAUGUAUACUCGCGGUUUGC